rnacentral:tRNA from 1 species
GAGGGUAUAGCUCAAGUGGCAGAGCACAUGCUUGGCAUGCAUGAAGUCCUGGGUUCAAUUCCCAGUACCUCCU